UAUUGGUCAAUAGCUUAACGGCCGAACCAGCAACUUGGAGGAAUGUAUAGGGAAAACUGGUAAAAUGUGAUGUACCUAAUAAUAUUAGAAAUCAGUAUGAAAUUAACUAAGUUAAUUAAAGUUCUAAGUGGGUGUUUGAUUAUGACAAUACCUAUAUAAGUCUUGACCAAGUCACGUGCCAGCAGUCGCGGUAAUACGUGGAAGACAAGUGUUAUUCAUCUUUAUUGGGUUUAAAGGGUACCUAGACCGUUAAUUAAGCAAUUAACUGUACUAAUUAACUAGAGUUUAAUGUAAGAAGGGUUGAGUACGGUGAGAGUAGAGAUAAAAUUCUUUGAUACCACUUGGGAACUGGUAAUAGCGAAGGCUACCUUCUAUGUAAAAA
rnacentral:rRNA from 1 species